rnacentral:rRNA from 1 species
AAGCUUUUGAAGUUGUUUUGCUGGUCUUUAGGGACAUUGUGCACGCUUCAUUAGUUUUCACUUUAUACCCCUGUGCACCUUUGAUAGAUUUUGGGUUUGGUUAUCCUUUGGUUAUUUUUUCUUAAUUGAGAAAAGCCCUUGGGUUUCUUUAAAGGAUUUUUUUAUUAUCCCCCCCACCAAAGGUAUGUUUUAUUAAGGAAUGGGUUUAUAAUAAACAAGGCCAUGACCUUUAUAAACUUAAUACAACUUUCAACAAGGGAUUUCUGGGUUUUGGCAUGGAGGAAGAAGGCAGGGAAAUGGGAUAAGUAAUGGGAAUGGCAGAAUUCAGGGAUUCAUGGAUUCUUGGAACGCCCCUUGCGCCCUUGGGUAUUCGGAAGGCCAUCCCUGUUGGAGGGUCAUUAAAUUUUCAAAUUUUAGGACUUUAUUGUGGUAGCUGUUGGGAUUGUGGGGGGUGGCGGGGUUCUUCUUUGGAAUUGGGUUCUUUUUAAAUCCAUAAGGGGGACUUGGUGGCUUUUGCGCAAAGGGGGAUAAUAAUUUACGUUAGACGCAUGCAAUUCUUAUAUUGUCCAGCUUUCUAAUCGUCUCAAGGGACAAUUACUUGACAAUUGACCUCAAAUCAGGUAGA